GAUUUCACAUUUAGUCAAUAGUGAACACUCGCAUAUUUGUAAGGAAAACUGAUCUUCCCGUUAUUUUAUUUAUUUUGUUAUAACGCAGUACAGCAAGGCAGAGUGUGGAAAGCAGUAGAGAUCGACAAAAUGGCGGACGGAGGACGGAUAUGAGGACGACGUCAUGAAGCCGACUCCACGGAAUGGGAGUCACAUUUGUGUUAAUCAGAACUCUUCAGGAACGUCCUGAUGAUGAGGACAGAGAUGCAACUGUGUCUGCAUCCAGGACCUACUGCCAGUCAUCCAGAUGUUGGUCAACAACGAAGCAGG